ensembl:lncRNA LINC02693 long intergenic non-protein coding RNA 2693
GGAGCCCUCCGUGGCAGGGCUUCGGUGUCGGGGCUCCGAGGCUCCGGCCUGACUUCUCCACGGGGUCCACAGGAGCGUCUCCGGAUGCCAGGACCUGAAAUGGGCCGACCAGGAUGAGGAAACCACAGGCAGAGGCCGGGGAAGCAGCGCGGCAUCCCAUCCUCAGGCCUGCCCGGACGGUGUUCGGAAUCAUCUCCCCUGCCCCACAAACAUGAAAGAAAAGACAAGAGAAGCACCCCAGAAGAGGAGGGGAGAAGUGCCCCAGAAAAAAUCAUCCAGUCUCUGAAGCUUUGCCCAGAAACUAUGAAAAUACAUUGCAAGAAUGCAACAUGCAGCACAGCAGAGAAGGGGCUGUCUGCAAAGAUAAAGGGCUGGAGGGAAGUUUUCUAAGGUUGUGCUGGACGGCGCUAUGUGCAGCCAGUCUCCACCUCCAAAACAAGACUCAGAAAAAGGUGUGAAGCUCAAGUCGGAUGACCAUGACCCACGCGUGGCCACGGACGGGCCCAUGCUACCCUUCGCAGUCCUCCUGGAACAGCCGGGCCGGUCCUCACCUCCGGGUCGGGGCUUGGAGAUAAUGGGUGUAAUGGAAGGCCUGAGGACCGGGCCCCACGCCAGUCAGCGUCCGGGCGGGAUACCCCAUCCCCCGUUCACACUCUCGGAAGGCCCAGCGAUUCCCGCGUGUACUAAUUGACCCGCUCAGGCCACAGCACUCCGAGCUCAAGAGCGCGCCUACAACGCUGACCCUCAGGUUUAAUCUCCGACGAAAGGACGAAGAGUACACCCAGCAAAGCCGGGCUCAUCCUGCCAGCGCUGCCAGUCCCCUGGAACUCUGCACCGCGCCCUGUGGCCAAAUCCCCUUUCUUGCCGGCUUCGCCAGAGCGCCGGAGAGAAAACCUUAACAGUGCAGCCAGGUGGCGCCCGACAGCCGGCGCCAGCGGCCGCGGAUCGGAUCCGCAUCUCCGGCGGGCGAGGCCUCUCCUAGUCCCUGACCAACUGGGAUCGCGUUUCUCGGCCUGGGGCGGGUGAAGGAGCUCCCAGUUGGCACCGCCUGGAAUGGCGCGACCCCGCAGCCGAAGGAGACUUGAAAAUUUUUCCUAACUACCGUUCUGCUCCGAGUGACUGCUACCUGCGAGGACAGACAGCCCACGCGGCUCCGGGCCGGGCGAUCUUCCGCGGGAACCGGGAACGUUUCCGAAGACCCCCGCAGGCCGGCGCCCUGCCUCGGCUUCCCAGCGCAGCGGGGUCCCGGGCUCCUCGCGGAUUAGAAAGUUUUGCUGGGCUCUGGCGGCGGGAGAGACAGUGAAGUUGAAACCGUGAAAGGGAGAACAUGGGUGAAUCGCUUUUAUUCUGUCUUUUCGGAAUGGGGAAGCCUUUCUAAAGCAUUAAAUAAACCCAGAAGCCAUCAAGGAAAUGAUUGAUCGGCUUGACAACAUAAAGUUUGAACAAAAUACACAAGCAAAGUCAAAAGAUAACAAAUGAGUGUGGGGAUCGCUUAUGCAUAAGAUAAGAAUAUUGAUUUCAUUCACAGUAGCCAAGAUACGGAAGCAACCUAGCCAAGAUAUGGAAGCAUCUACUAGUGGCUGAACGGAUAAAGAAAAUGUGGUGUAUGUACACCACGGGGUACUGUCCCGCCUUUGAAUAAAAGGAAAUCCUGCCAUUGGCGACAACAUGGAUGAACGUGGAGGUCAUUGUACUAAGAAAAGUAAGCCAGGCACAGAAACAAAUACCACCUGGUCUCUCCUGUAUGUGGAAUCUGAAAAUAGUUGAACUCAUAGAAACGGAGAGUAGAACGGUGGCUACUUGAGGCCGGGGGAAGGGCAGGAGGGGGAAGAUGUUAGUCAAAGGGUACAAGGAUUCAGUUAGACAAGAGGAAUAUGUUUUAGUGAUCCACAUGGCACGGUGACUGUAGUUAAUGCAUUUUAUAUGUCAAAAUUCCUUAAAUAGUAGAUUUUAAAUAAUCUCACCACAAAAAAAUAGAUGUGUUGGUGAUGGAUAUCUUAAUUAGCUUAAAGUAAUUGUUCCACCAAUGUAUACAUAUAUCAAAACAUCACAUUGUAUCCCAUGAAUAUAU